CGGUAACAGGGGGAGCUUGCUCCCCGCUGACGAGCGGCGGACGGGUGAGUAAUGCAUAGGAAACUGCCCAGUAGUGGGGGAUAGCCCGGGGAAACCCGGAUUAAUACCGCAUACGCCCUUCGGGGGAAAGCAGGGGAUCUUCGGACCUUGCGCUAUUGGAUGUGCCUAUGUCGGAUUAGCUAGUUGGUGGGGUAAGAGCCUACCAAGGCGACGAUCCGUAGCUGGUCUGAGAGGAUGAUCAGCCACAUCGGGACUGAGACACGGCCCGAACUCCUACGGGAGGCAGCAGUGGGGAAUAUUGGACAAUGGGGGCAACCCUGAUCCAGCCAUGCCGCGUGUGUGAAGAAGGCUUUCGGGUUGUAAAGCACUUUCAGUGAGGAGGAAAACCUUACGUUUAAUACGCUUGAGGCUUGACGUUACUCACAGAAGAAGCACCGGCUAACUCCGUGCCAGCAGCCGCGGUAAUACGGAGGGUGCAAGCGUUAAUCGGAAUUACUGGGCGUAAAGCGCGCGUAGGUGGUUUGAUAAGCGAGAUGUGAAAGCCCCGGGCUCAACCUGGGAACGGCAUUUCGAACUGUCAGGCUAGAGUAUGGUAGAGGAGUGUGGAAUU
rnacentral:rRNA from 1 species